GACUUCCUGUCAAGAGGGCGGACACUAAAGGUCAAAGGUUAUCAGAGGGAGGGAGUGAAAAACUAGAACUUUGAUUAUCUAAGAAGGUCUUUAUCAAUAAUUAUUAGAUAUUGAUAAAUACUUAAGUCCAGUCGUCCUCGUCCCGCUUUAGUCCAGAGAUUUCUUUAGACCCUCUGAUCUGAUCUUCUGAAGACGAUGAAAUCUUCUCAAACUGUUGAACUCUUCGCUCACGCCGUCUCUCUCAGAGUCCUGAACCUCUUUAGUCUUUCCUUCUGAGAGACUCCGCCUCUCUGAAGGUCCGUCUUAGACCCGGUCAUGUGACCUACCUGUCGGACCUUCACCUCAGAAGUUGGAGACGUGGUUCUCCGUCAGAACCGGUUCGAUCGUCACUUUUUUGGUUGUAGCAGAUUUUUGUUUGCGUUGACAUAAAUCUGGCUCCGCCCCCUGAUGACACAGAUGGUCAUGUGCAAAUGUUGAUUUGCUGAUGGCUCUUCUGUCCCCGCCCCCUCUGGUCGACCUCUGACCUUUGGUUUUCAGCUCAGCGCCACAAAGCACAGAGAAAAACCGGCGCGUUAGUCGGAGAGAAGAGAGGAAAUAAAAGCUUGAAUGUCGCCUCCCCCUGUCCUCCCCCUGUCCUCCUCCUGUCCUCCUCCUGUCCUCCCUCCAUCCCUCCAUCCCUCCAUCCCUCCAUCCUCCCCUCUCUCACCCCUCCUCCCCCUCCACAGAUCAACAGUACUGUACACGGAGCCGGACGGACAGACGGCAGUCUCUCUUUUUGGGGGGAAGGUCACUUUUUACAGCGCGCAGCAGACGGCGGUGUUUUUAAAACGACUUUCAUUUUGACGUCUGUCUGUCUGAGGAGGAGGAGGAGGAAGCUCCGCCCUCGCCAUGACAUCAAGUGCCUUCAGACUCACAGAGGAAAAGACUGCCGGACUGAGGACCGCCGUCGUCGUCGUCAUGGAAACAAAAAGACAACCUGUUGGACACCUUUACGUCCCGGAGACGGGGGGGAACACAGUUGUCCCCUCGUCUGAUUAUGCAGAGAAGAGUUUCCUACAGAUUUAACCUUUUAGUUCAGAUGAGGAGGAAGAGGAGGAUUCUGGGAGAAAUCCUCGUCAGGAAGCCAUGUUGGAUGGCGUUGGAAUGAAGCAGCGACAAAGAAGCCACGGACAAAGAGGAGACGCCAUGACGCUCUUUGGUUUAUUUAACGGACAUCAUGCAGUCACAAUCGGAGGUUCGAGACGAUGUUUCAGAAAUAUGAACCUCCAUCGGGACGUUUUUCUGCCCCGAGCCGCCGCCAACGCCGCCGGGGUCGGAGUAUUUGGUCUCUCAGAACUAUUUUAGUACUUCAGAAGUUUCAGGAGGAGGCGGAGACUUUGACGCUACCUGAGACCAUCAGUUACCUUAAACUUUGAAAAGGAGGCGGAGCUUUUGAAAAGAAGAAAAACGACCGUAUUGUAAAUCAAAUCUUCUAUUGUUCCUAUGAUAUUCUAAGACAGCAGAAAUCUUUACUCUUUACUUUCUCCGUUUUACUGCAGACGACUUUAUUUUGUUAUUUAUGAAAAAAAACCCAAAGGAGCUGAAAAGAGUUUAAAGUCGAGGAUGUUGAUGUUUGUUUACGUCAGUUUGAGUCAAAGAGGAAAAGAUUCGUUCAUUUCUGACGACGAUCUGAAGUCGAAGAAGCACAAAAUAAUCCGAGUCGACAUUUUCACACGUCUGAACCGCCGACCUUCAGCUUCAUCGGAAAACAGCGAAGUUUCUGCUCCGAGUUUCUUUAAUCGUUUUAAGGAGUCAAAACAUCUUUUUUUUGUUUUCAUUCAUAAAAUCAUUUUGUCAGUAAUAAUGAAAAAAACAUGUUUCAUAAAAGAUUUUAAACAUUUUGAUGUCUGAACAUUUUCAGAAACAGAGACGACAGUAAAAGAAAACACGGAGGAGAGAGAAGUUAUUUUUCUAAAACUUCAUUAAAACUUUAAACAGAAAAGAACGAAGGACAAUGAAAUAAAUUUAAAAAAUCUGUUUUUGAUUCUUUUUCCUGAGAUUUCUGUAAUAAAGACAAAAUUCUGAGAUUUCUAAAAAGUCCCAGUUUCAGAGAAAUUAGAGAUCGAAGUCAGAAUGUAGAAAAAAAAGAAAUUCUGAAUUCAGAGAUCAUGAAGUCGUCAGAAUCUAAAAUCAACGUUAGAAUCCUGGAAAAUUUAGAGAAUUCUCAGGAAAAAAGUCAAAAUUAUGUAAUAAACAGAAUCAGAACCAGAACACCUUAUCCUGGUUCUGAACUGUGUUUUUUGGGUUUUUUCAUGUAAAUCAGAAUCUUGUGAAAAAGUCAAAAUUCUGAAUUUAUAAAAACAUCAAAAUUCUGAAUUUUCUGAAUUCACCACACGGUUGUUUUUUUUUCUUUAAAGUCUCUUUCUGAAAAAACUUCAGGUCCCCAAAUUUAAAACAGUUUCAUGAAAACUGAAACAGAAACACAAAAGAAACUUGGAGUUAAAUUUGAGUGGAUUUAAAGCUCCUGUGAGGAGAUUAAACAUGACCACCGUCAAAACAGAGUUUCAAUAAAAUCAUUUCUAAUGUCUGAAAACUCUGACGGGGGCCCAGGCGUUAGACUGAAACUCAUAUCAGAAAGCAAAAAAACACUUUGUCCACAGGGGGCGCCAAAAUCAACACAGCCCAGAAGUUCCUCACAGGAGCUUUAAGUCGCGGCAGAUUCAGACUCUGUUAAAAACGUCUGUUAAAGUUAAUUUAAAGACGCAGUAAAGAGCUUUUCUCCUCCCUCUGUUCUUAAUUAUCUGAUGUUUAGUAAAGGGUUAAUUUUUCAGGAUUGGACUGAAUUCACGUCGAUCAGGCUGAUAUUGAACAUAGACGUGUGAUUGGCUGUUUCUCUGGAUUAUAAUCCCUGAGUUCUGAUUGGAGGAGCUGGUUUCUCUCCACAUAUUAACGAUAAAAGCUGAUUUCAUCUUUCUGCUGCACACGCCCAUAAAUCUUUGAUGAGAAUCACUCAGAGGAAGUGUUAGAUAACGCAGAUAAAUAUCAUUCCUCUUUAAUGUUUUGUUGAUUUUUCUCGCUCUCCCUGCGGCGACACUUUUCCUCUCAGCGUGUUUUUCCACCGCGGCUGAUAAUCAGAUUUUUAUUAAAGCUCCUCUGGGUAUCAGUUUAUCCUCGCUGCAUCAUUAUCACAUUAACUCUGUUUGCCGGGAUCUCUGGAGAUGAUUGUCUGCCUCUGAUGAACACCAGCGGCUUUCUUUAUUCAAUUAUUCAUCCUGUGGAAAUGUACAAAUCUGAGAGCUGUGCGUUUUUGGUGAUUAUAGUCCGGUCACACAAACGAGCAGCUGCUUCCACAAACACCAACUAAUGACCGCCUCCAUCUGUCUCUGACGGAGGCAGAGUCACUUUGGACUGAAGAUAAAAUGGAGAAUAAACGGAGGGAAAGAUCGGACAGAAUAAAAAAACAUAAGAUGGACUUUUUUUUCUCUUGAUAUCCACUGAAAAAAACGGACGAAUUUACAGUAAAAUCUACUCAGUUUGUGAGGCUGACGAUUAAACAAGCUCUCAUAUAAAAACUAGUUUAUUGUUUAUAAAGUCAUUCCCUCAAAAUAAGUCUUAAUAAAGGGGAUCAUCUUAAAAUCAGGGUCGACUUAUAUUCAGGUCAUUACGGUAAUUACUGCCAGUCUGAGGGGACGCUCGCUACCAAAAUGGAUUUCUGAUGUGUCGAGUGUAGAAGAAGAAGAAAGACGACUUUUUACGUCUACGGGGUAAAAUCAGCAGAGAGAUAAAGGGUUCCACUUUGUCCACAGGGGGGCGCCAAAAUCCACACAAAGGCCGUCAGAGGAGCUUUAAUAAUCCGUCGAAAAUCCUCAUUCUUCCUGUUUUAGUGAUUCUUAAUAUUUUAUUUUUGUCUGUUUGAAAACAAAAAGACUUUAUAACGAUGAAAGUUAUCAGGAAAAACACAAACGUUAGAACUUUAUCUAAUAGUUAAAAAGCAGCAAACUUAAUUUAAUCUAUUUCAAAAACAACGAAAUGGACCAAAAAUAUCCGAAUGUUUAAAAACUCCCAGAUUCUUCAGUGUGAGGGUUUUUGGUUUCAGACUGAAGAUUGUCGUUGGUUCGGAUAUCUAAGAAAACACGUCUACAAAUAAAGACUUUAUUCUAUAAAAUACAGUGAAGAGCAUCUCUGUCAGUCCCAGAACAGAAUUUUAGAGAAAAACAACCUUUUAUUUCUGUUUACUGCGCUCAUAAUCACGCACACGUUAAAAACUGAGAGGAUGGUUUAAAUUACCUUGAGUUAGAGUUUUAUUUUGAAAGGUUCUCCAUCUUCAUUUUGAAUGUUUCUUCGUUGUUAAAAAAGUCUCUUCAGCUCGAAGAAAAACCUCGUUUGUUCUGAUUGUCCCCCUGGCGCUCUGAUGUUAAUAACCUGUUUUUAUUUGGGGGUGAAGUGGGCAAUAGAAUAAAGUUUAAAGAACUCCACCAACACCCGACUCUGGACGUCUGAAGAAAGAUAUUUUUAUAACUGUGAUAAUUCUCUGCAAUAGACGAUCAGAUCAGUUCGACUAUCUGAAGGUAAUACAGCGUUAUUAUUAUUAUUAUUAUCAUUAUUAUUAUGAUUAUGAUUAUUAUUAUUGACAUUAAUAAAUACACUCCAAAUGUUGACGAUGUCA
rnacentral:lncRNA from 1 species